AUUGAACGCUGGCGGCAUGCCUUACACAUGCAAGUCGAACGGCAGCGGACCUUCGGGUGCCGGCGAGUGGCGAACGGGUGAGUAAUGCAUCGGAACGUGCCAUUGAGUGGGGGGAUAACGUAGCGAAAGUUGCGCUAAUACCGCAUAUUCUGUGAGCAGGAAAGCAGGGGACCGCAAGGCCUUGCGCUCUUUGAGCGGCCGAUGUCAGAUUAGCUAGUUGGUGAGGUAACGGCUUACCAAGGCGACGAUCUGUAGCGGGUCUGAGAGGAUGAUCCGCCACACUGGAACUGAGACACGGUCCAGACUCCUACGGGAGGCAGCAGUGGGGAAUUUUGGACAAUGGGGGCAACCCUGAUCCAGCCAUGCCGCGUGAGUGAAGAAGGCCCUUGGGUUGUUAAAGGACUCUUUCGGUCCGGGAAGAAAUACGCAUGGUUAAGUACCUAGUGUGGAUGACGGUA
rnacentral:rRNA from 1 species